GAUGAACGCUGGCGGCGUGCCUAAUACAUGCAAGUCGAGCGAACAGACGAGGUGCUUGCUCCACUGACGUUAGCGGCGGACGGGUGAGUAACACGUGGAUAACCUACCUAUAAGACUGGGAUAACUUCGGGAAACCGGAGCUAAUACCGGAUAAUAUAUUUAAACGCAUGGUUCAAUAGUGAAAGACGCUUUUGCUGUCACUUAUAGAUGGAUCCGCGCCGCAUUAGCUAGUUGGUAAGGUAACGGCUUACCAAGGCAACGUUGCGUAGCCGACCUGAGAGGGUGAUCGGCCACACUGGAACUGAGACACGGCCCAGACUCCUACGGGAGGCAGCAGUAGGGAAUCUUCCGCAAUGGGCGAAAGCCUGACGGAGCAACGCCGCGUGAGUGAUGAAGGUCUUCGGAUCGUAAAACUCUGUUAUUAGGGAAGAACAAAUGUGUAAGUAACUAUGCACGUCUUGACGGUACCUAAUCAGAAAGCCACGGCUAACUACGUG
rnacentral:rRNA from 1 species